UUACGCUGUUAUCCCUAAGGUAAUUUAAUCUUUUAAUCACUAAAAAUGGAUCAAAUAAAUACUAAUCUAUAAAUAAAAAUAAAAAGAGUUUCCUAUAUCCUUUUAUCACCCCAACAAAAUAACCUAAUAUAAUUAUUAAAACAUCAAAAAUUAAUAAUCAAAUAAAUUAUUAAACUCUAUAGGGUCUUCUCGUCCCAAAAAAAAAUUUGAGCUUUUUAACACAAUAAUUAAAUUCAAAUCAAUAAAUUUUAGAAAGUUAUUAUUUCGUCCAACCAUUCAUUCCAGCCCUCAAUUAAAAGACUAAUGAUUAUGCUACCUUUGCACGGUCAAUAUACCGCGGCUAUUUAAAAUUCAUUGAGCAGGUUAUAUUUCUCAUUAAAACACAAGAAAAGAUGUUUUUGUUAAACAGGCG
rnacentral:rRNA from 1 species